UGGCCAUUUACCCCCUCUCCUGUUCACCUCUCACGGAUCUAAUCAAAAGCCAACUUCCGUGCCCACCCCAUGUCCUCCUGCCUGCGCCCACCUUUGGCCCGGUGUGGCGGCGCCCUUCCGUUGCCCAGAUCACCGGCACCGUUCCCCCCCAGCACACCUCUCCCCUCUAGCAAGCCCCUCGAGCUCCCCAUACUGAUCCACCCACGCGCCUCCCCAAGCGGAUGCGUGCGUGCCGGCGCUAGUCGCGGCGUAUUUUGCUACGGGCGCCACCAGGAUUGCCAAGCCGCUGCCGAUUCUUGUGCCCCAUAUUGAUUGUUGAUGCUGGAUGGAGAUGACGAGGCAACUGCACAGCACGGCCAGAUCUUGGCAACCCCUACCGUAAGCAGUCAUCUUCCUCAAUGGAAUCCCCAUCUGCAUCUCAAGAAGCUUGCCCCUCUUCAAUCCCACGCUCUGUAUCGUGAUUCAGGUGUGAUUUGAUUUGUGACCAAUCUGGGAAUCCCGGAGUAGUUGCUAAUUGGGAUUUCAACCAGUGCUUUCUUCCAUGAUUCUUCUAGAUGGAAGCCCUCUGUUGAGUUUAAUGGGAUCAUAUUCAUUAAUUCAUGAGGCAAUACGUUGAGCUCACAAGCACUUUUCAUAUGUACCUGAUGACUCCUAUUCAUGUUGCAGAUAAACCGUCCUUCCUGAAAUUUGAUUGCUUUAAUUUUUAGGGUUGCUUAUUAUUUUUGGUGUAAUGUGGUUGUCUGAAAUUGUCCAUGUGCAUCUGGAUACAGUAGUAUCAGUUCUGCAAAAGUAAUAUUUUAGUUUCCUGCCUGUAUGGAUCAUUGACAAUAAUUUAUCUAAACUCAAUAAAUAGUCAUCAUUUAACAAUCUAAUAUUUUAAUUACUAAUUUCUUAAUAUUCAAAUGACACUUCAUUAAAUUUAAAUUAGGAUAGAUCUUCCAUAUGAACAAGCUCCAUCCUCCAUGUUCUUAACCAUUGUAUUAGUAACACCAAAAUAUGACUAUUUGUUGCCAUCUUAUUGAUAUUUCAGUCUAUGUAGAGGUGACAUAAUAAUAGGUACCCAUAAGUAAUUAAGGACAGCUCAAUCGGUUUCAACAUAGUUUAGCUCUGAAUAAAUAGGAUUAACAUUGAAGUUACUGAUUAUGAUUUUAGCUUGUUAUGAUUUUGUUUGGAUCAUAUAUAGGAUUAACACUGAAGUUAUUGUAGGCUUAUGAAGGAGCUCCUUGUUGACAAAACCAAGCUAUCGAAGGACUGUGGCGGUGUGCCUCUAGUUGGAGAUUAGUAUUUUGUUAUAGUAGUAUGGUUAGGCACUAUUUUUUUUGUAGGGAACUAUCUGUAAGUAAGUUAGGCACUAUUAGAUUCAUGGUUGAUAUUUUUUCUCUUUUCUGCAAAGAUACAUCUUGAUGUAUUGCCAUAUUGAAUCAAUAAUAUUUAUUUUCUGUCACAA